AGAGUUACACAGCUGUUCAAAGAGUUAAACACCAAUAACAAUUGUGUUGAGGUAUUACGUCAACCUAAAGGCCCAGAUGGAACUCCAGGAUUUGAUUUCCAGAGAUAAUGAAGCAUGAACAAAGGGACAAGAAAUAGAAGUGCCAAAAUCAGUCAAAACACAAACCUCUUUGUUAUAUUUCAUGUUUUUGAAACUUUUUUUUAAGUGUUCAAAUAUAAUACACUUAUAGCCUUGAUUUUUGUAAAAUGAUUGAAAAUUUAUUUUUUGACAGCAGUACAUGUUUGUACAAACAUUUGCUGCAUAUUAUAAAAAAAAGGAAUGUUAUUUUUUCAUGUGUUGAAUAUGUAAUUGCUGCAAAUCCUAAACUUUAAAAAUUCACGAUGAUUUAGGGAAUUCAAAUUGCCAGACAAAAUUAAGGAUUACAAAGAUUGACUGAUAUGAGAUUAACAGGGCCAAGGUUUGACAUUAAGCUGAGGUCCAUAAAUAACAUAAGGACUAACAGGGCCAAGGUUUGACAUUGAGCUGAGGUCCAUAAUAACAUAUUAAGCUCAACAAAGGUUAAAAAAGAAGAAAAGAGAGAGAAAAUCAAUCCAGCCGUGCUGGUUCAUUGAUAUGCACACAUCAGAUGUUGUACAAAUAUAUAAAUAUACAAUGUAGUACAUUUAUAUCAAUGAAAAACCACCCCUAAUGACAUUUCAAUGGUAAGAGGUAGUUUUUUAAAAACAACAUUUGCACAUUUGAUAUGUCAUAAAUUUCCUAUGUACAAAAUUUGAGUGUAAAAAUGCAAGGUCUCUGUGUGCUAAUGAUACACACAUUGUGCUAAGAAAUGUGGGCCAUUGGUUCUACAGGAAAUUGUCACAUGAAGUUUGUACUUAAUUUUGUAAAGAGAAUUUAGGCCAUUCAUAUGUAUUUUUUAGUUAUCUGCCAUAUAGAUUCUUCAUUUUAUUGUGCUUUUAGUUGCAUCAAUCUGAUACCAAGGAUAAAAAAUGAAAUUCUAGAUGACAUAGAUUGGUUGUUCAUAAAGAUUUAGUGUUGCCUGCAACACUGAACAACAUUUGUGAAGUUAUUUUGACAGCUUCUGUGUUGUCGACAUUUAGAUUUAGUCUGUUAAUUUUUUUUACAUCAAUUACUUUGCCAAACAUUCACAGUAUUUUAUGAAACUUGGACAAAAGCUUCUUUAUGAUCAAGAGAUAAUUUCUGGAUGAAGAUUUCAAUAUCGUAGAUACAUUAAUUUGAACUUUUAUAACCUCUUUGAAUCUCAAGUAUCCUCCAAUCAGGGACUUGCUACUUUCCUUUCAUCAUUAAGUUCCUAUAAAUAGCAAUGAUUCUUUGUGACAUAAAGCUGGAAUACCUGCAUUAUGAUGGUAUAUGAAUAAAAUACUGCUAAGUUAGUCACAGAGAAGGAAAUGAAAUUUAUAAAUCAAACCAAGUUUGCAUUAAGUUAAUCAUGGAGGUAUACUUCCCUUUGCAUAGUUUUAGAAUGAUAUCAAAAUUUAACCAUUGUCAAAAUUUCAAUGUAAAAUCUGUUAGAUAUCUACUCUACUGUAUAACCUUAAUGGGUGUUAAGAACAUAUCAGGGGAGAUAACUACUACAGUAUCAUGAAAGUUCAGCAUUACAUUGGCAUGCUGGGUACUCAGUUUGCUUACAACAACAUCCUAAAAAUGGAAUCUUUUCACAAUAGAUCAAAUCUGAUAUUUGAUAAUUGUGCAAUUUUCCCCAUGGAAUCAAUUACUAAAAGCUUUUGUUGCUUGUUUUUUUUAUUAUUAAAACAGGAGUCAAAUAUUUGCUUUUUUAUCUAUACACUUUUUGUUUAACAUUUAGAAUUUGGCUGGAGGUGUCAAUUAUCCUUUCCAAUUAUUUGAAAGAUAUUUCUCUGCUUAACAUGAGGGGUAUCAAGUGAAAGACUAAAAGAAGUUUCUAUAAAAUAAGCAUGGUUUUAUAUGAGGGAGAGUAAGCAAAACAUUUUAGAAAUUUCCCAUAAUAUAUACAUGGUAAUCUUACUUUUAAUGUAUUUAUUUGAAAAUUCAGAACAAAAGAUGUAGUGUAAAAAAAUACUAAAAACACUGAGAAUUUCUUUGUAGUGUAAACUUGGGUUUCAAAUGUACAGUGUAAUUUUCUCAACUAUUGGUGAGACUGUUUUAACCAUGUUAACUGACCUUUCAAAUUGAAUAUUCCUUAUACAUUGUGAAAUUCAAAGAGGUUUUUAAAAUUUAAAUAUAGUAGCUUUUAUCAUUGUAUAUAUGUAUAUUUAUCAUUGCAGACAUGUAGAUAAUUUUAGCUUUGAAAACAUUUAUUGUAAAUUCACAUCAGCUUAUAAGUAUAAUCUUAGGGUAAAAACUGGACAUGAAAUGAAUGAUCUGUAUCAGGUCAUGUGUUUUAAGUGCCUUGUAUUUUUAUAGUAAGUUUUUGUAAGAAUCAUGGCAGUUUCAUUUUAAAAACUAAGUCACAUGUAACAAUGCAUCAAUUUAACCAUGCAGUAACGAUAUUUCUGUAAUACUAAUUUGCCUUUUCAGAAACUAAAGGACUAUGGAUUAUUUCAAUGUUUAUACCCUAAAAUGUAUUGCCAAUCUCAAGGUUCUGGUGUAUUCUUUAGAAAAAUUACCAAAAAUGCAUUAGAUUCUGAAACUGUAUUGUUAAAAAAUAAUAAAUGUUCAUUUUACAAGUGCUUUGUGAUAACAAACUUCUCCACUUGAGAAUAACAUGUGUUUAAAUUUUAAAGAGACAACAUUAAAAAAAAAUUUGUGUUGGAAUCAGUUUCGUAAAUAUCUUUUAGAAGUCAUCAUAAGAAUUGAGAAUAAGGGCACCACGUAUUUAUUUUCCAAGAAUAAACAACUGACUUGGGAAAAGGUUUUAUUUUGUCAUUUUAAUUAGUAUGGUCAGUUUCCGAUUUUUUUUCGUGGAGAUUUUUGAGUCUGUACAAUUUAUAAAGGGGGGAUAAUUAUUGGUGUUAUGAUUGACAUUAAAUAUCCCAAUCAUACCAGAUCUAUUUACAAAGAUACCCUACAUCUUAAAUGUCAAUACAAUGUGCAAUUUUAGAACCUUCUAAUUAUCUAAUCAGGUACUAGCAUCAUUAAAUAUGUGCUUUUAGUUAAGAUAAGGAAACAAGACGGACUUUGUUCAUAUUUUAAUUAUGUCUUUCAUAGCUGCUUAAGUCUAAAGAUUGAAAAUAGUGCUAGAUGAUGCCUACGAGCAUUAAGCUUUGGUAAUGUUAAGUUCAUAAACAAUAUUCUUUGCAUAGGACAAGUUAAGCUUUCUAACUAAACAUUUAUUGUGUAAGAAUUCAGAAUUUUGUAAAAAAAUAAGAAAUGAUGAAAUAUAGGUAUGCCACAACCAGUAUUGAAUUUGAAAGUAAAUAAAAGGACAGGGUGAGAUAAGGGCCUUAUUUGGAUUGAUUUUUCAUUGAAAUUUUAACACUUGAUUUAAAACUAAAUUGAUGUUUACAUUUAUAACAUGUAUAACUUAAAAAAAACAACAAGGGAGUAAGCAUCCAUCAUGUCUUAUUAAAUACAGUCGUAAUGUUAUCUAGGAUAGGCCUUUGUACUUGUUAUGAUGAAAAAUAUACAGCUAUUGUCCAGUUUAAAAAUUGUGGACCGCCAAGAGCACAAGCAAGUAUCUAUUAGAUAAUUCACAUUGUUUUUUUUUUUUGUCUACAUGAUCUGCUUUCUCACAUGUAGAUAUCUAUUUGUUACUAGGUACAUUUUGUACAUAACACUUUUUAUACAUACACACAUACAUACAUACAUAUCAAAUAUUUUUUAAGGGAAUGAAAAUCACUGGAUUUUUUAU
rnacentral:lncRNA from 1 species